rnacentral:misc_RNA from 1 species
GUCCCCAAAAAAAUUCACAAUCCACCCAUGAAGUAGGUUUGCCUGACCUCCACUAGACUUGACAAAGCGAGGAGAGGACAAGCUAUGAAGACAAGCAUUGCUAGAACUAGGUCUGGUAUUGGAGACAAAGACAAAUUGAAAGGGAACGAUCUAACCAACAAAGAUGUCCCUACAACCUCCAUCUGAAGCAGGAUUUCCCAAUACCAAUUGCAGCUGAAAAAUACUGAAAAUAGAAGAACAGCAGAAUUUGGGAUGGCCAUCACAUGCUGCCUUCGUGCUACCACCCUAUGUCACUCGUGUACCAAUAUUUUCCCUCUCCCUUUACCCUCUUUCAUACUUAGCUUACACAAUUUCAGCUUAAACAAUUUCAAGUUAGAACUUAUUAGGACUAGGAAAUGAAGUGGGUUUGAUUAUUGGUCUUGGUUGGACUAAAAACUUAACCAAGGAAUGAAAUCUCAAU